GGCCCUACAUGUAAGGCGAGCCGGGGCCUCGCUGCCUCUUCCCUGCCCUGCCCCGCGCCACCUCCAUUGUUCCCAGUCGCUCUCAGCACUUUCCCCAAAGGCCCGGCGAGCCGUCCACUGCACACGCGUGGACCUCGGGUUCCUUUGUGCGGAGUCUCCGAAGAGGGCGGCGGGCCGCGGGUCUCCCCAGGCAGCAGGCGUCCCAUCUUGGUUGUGGGCAGGUCGGGCCGAAGCCAGACCUGGGCGCCCAGGCCGCGGACCAGGGGCUGACAGGACCUUCUGGAAAGCCCUUUCCUGAGUCAGCCACCGAAGUGCCGGUCCUGAGGUGUCUUUCCGCCCGGAGCCGGGCGCCGGGAAGGCCCGAGACGCGGGCGCUCUGGCCGUGGGUGUCUGUGCGUUCGCUCCCGGGCAGGGCUCGGUUUCGCCAGUGGCCACGCUGGUGACGGCCGGAGCGCGGGCCGCAGCCGGUCUGGCCCGGAUUCGUGCUCUUCCUCACCUGCCCCCGUCUGAGGCUCCAGCUAGGCCGGAACCGGCUCGGAGGAGGUGCAGGCCGGCCCCCGCCAACGACUCGGUUACUGGGGUCAGGUCCAAAGUCUGUUCUGAAGAUCCUCCACCUGAACUCGAAAUAGCAGCCUCUGCAGCAGCCACGCGAGCACCCUGUCCUGGGAGGGCGGCCGCGCUGCCUCGGCGGAGCACACCCAGCGCCGAGCCAGGCGGCGCGACAGCGGCUUUCACAGCCCAGCCGCCGGCUUUCUUGAGCAGCUUUGAAGUUCAGGAGACGAUAACCUCGAUGUGACAGAAGGCCAGCUCUCUCUGAGGCAUAAUAUAGGGUUCAUUGUUCCUGAUGAACGAAACUUCUAGGGCAGAAGGAUAGGCUGUUUUAAUUAAUCCACUGGCAGCAUUUUAGGCCUUUUUAGGCUGAGCAUCUAGAAAAAUAGGUCGGUUUGGUUUUCUUUUACUUUUGUCUAGUAACUCAGAUGAAAUGCUUCAGAGUUAGAGCCAUUGGCAGCACGCUGAAUCAGGCAAAACAAGUUUUCCAUUUAUGAAAAUGCAAAACACCAUAAAAUAUGGACGCAGUCUACUGUGCAUUUUCAGA